AACAUUGUCAAAGGAGGAGUUGGAUACGACAUCAAUUGGGUAUCAGACUCCUAUCCCGAUUGAUCAGGUGAAACCAUUGGCUGAAUUCGAGUACGAUGGAGAGGGUUCUCCUGCUGGACGUGGUCGAGGCCGUGGUGGUUUCCGUGGCAGGGGUAGGGCCCGUGGCGGUGCGGCUUAUGAAUACGGAAAUGGUGGCCCUGCGGUCGAUUAUCAAGAUGGUGGCUGGGAAAAUAGGGGACG
rnacentral:misc_RNA from 1 species